AGGAGAAACGGGGGAUCUGCCAAACACUUUUAAACCAUCAGAUCUCGUGAGAACUCACUCACUAUCACGAGAACAAACAGCAGCGGGGAACCGCCCUCCUGAUCCAAUCACUUCCCACCAGGUCCUUCCCUGACACAUGAGGAUUACAAUUCAACAUGAGAUUUGGGUGGAGACACAGGGCGAAACCAUAUCAUCCACAGGAAAGCAUGCUCUUACACAGUCUGGAUACAUCCUGCUGUUGUCUGCAAACAGCUUUCAUUUACAGGGAGCAACAGCACCAUCUCCAGCUGAGUCAGGCCCAUCUGCCUUCAGAACAGAGCCUGGCCAAGGGGCCACCUCCCCGCGCGGAACAGGCCAGCACGCAGUAGGCGCUCAAGGAGCCAGGGACGGAGGCGAGGGCGACCCACUCGUGGAGCGAGGGCGACACCCAGUGGCCAUGUGGAAAAUGACCUGCUCGAACCCAAAGGUGGGUGGCAGCAGCGCCUGAUCCGCCAGCCUCAGGCCGGGAGGAGGUGGCCGAGUCCGAUUUGAGUCCCAUGUCCUCUGGACUGCAAGUUGAGACUCCCGGUCCUAGAAGGGACAGCAAGGCCUCCUCCAGCUUCACAGGCCAUCUGACGACCUGCGCAGCUGUUUAAAGAGCAAACCGCGCAUGAGUUAAGCCGCUUGGCCCUCCCUUUCAGACCCCUCAGGCCGCCUGUGGACAGCCUGACUUACCCUCUAAGGGCCUUCCUGCCUGCCCUGGGAACACACACCGCAGGGUCCAGGGACUGGCGUCAGGGGCAGAGCGAACUCAGCGCCACCUGGGCUCCAGGCCUGGCUCUGCUCCAGGACCGGGACAAGCCCCACCCCUCCCCGAUUCCCAUCCCUGAAGCCAAGGACACUGGGGUUAUCGCGAACCACUUCUGAGGACAUGUGCAGCUAAGGACUGUUCCUGUGAUGUCUUCUAGUACAUGAACAGGAAUGAAACCUACUGUGUCCUCCACGUGAACUAUAUACUCAGCGUGGGUCCAGAUGGGAAACCAUUCUCCUAUCCUGCAGAAAUGGAAUAUACUUUCGAGGAUGUUGAACUUCCCUAGGCCAUUGGCACCAGUGACAGUGAGAACUUAUACUUGACCAUCCCAGUAACUGACCUGCUCUCCUGUUGGGAGCUCUACAUGGGACACCAGCUGCCAUGCAUUUAUCCCUCUUCAGACCUCACUGGUGAGAAGCCGGGCUUCUGGGUCCCCAUGAUGCUUUGUCCCAACUCCCAACCCUGCUGAUCCCAGUCUAGAACCACAGCACCGCCCCCAUCCUGCAUGAUGAAGGCCUUGUACAUCUGCCUUGGUGAGAUCUUUCCGGGCUCACUGGUCUCUACCCUCUGGGGAGAUGAUCGAGACCAGCUCACACUGCUGUGUAUCACAUCCAUACCUUCUAUGGGAAAACUAACCCCUCUCACCUCCUAUGUGAAGUCUUAGGCUUCAGAGCCCAUUUCAAAUGCUGUUUCUCCUAUAACCACAUAGCCUACCAACCAGAGGAUCUCCUUUCUGGUUCUUCCCUCUCCCGCAACUUUUUCCUUUUGAACUCUCGUAAUCAGAGCCAUAAUCAUAUUCUGUCUUCCACUAGUUACUUGUCCUUGACUGUUUCUUUAUUUUCCCUUCUGAGCUGACUUUCUUGAAGGCAGGGCCCCCAGCCUGAUCACCAUACCUCAUGUGGUAGUAUCCAGGUUUUGCCUUCCGCCCCUCAAAUAAUACAUAUAAAAAUGAACGAAGUUCAAUAUUUAUCCACAACCUAC